UACGGGGGGGGCAAGCGUUGUUCGGAAUUACUGGGCGUAAAGGGCUCGUAGGCGGCCAACUAAGUCGGACGUGAAAUCCCCAGGCUCAACCUGGGAACUGCGUCCGAUACUGGAUGGCUUGAAUUCGGGAGAGGGAUGCAGAAUUCCAGGUGUAGCGGUGAAAUGCGUAGAUAUCUGGAGGAAUACCGGUGGCGAAGGCGACUUCCUGGCCUGUUCUUGACGCUGAGGCGCGAAAGCUAGGGUAGCAAACGGG
rnacentral:rRNA from 1 species